GGCCUGUUAGUGCUUACCACAGGCUCUGUUCUUUAUGCUGACUGUAUAGAAAGAGGAGGCAAAGUAAAACCACCCCACAUACACCCCAGUCCAGGCCCCUGGUCUGGACUGUAUUGUGAAUGGGAGGACAUGG